ensembl:lincRNA
AAGAGUUUCUCCUGGGGAAAAAGAAAAUAAUUCUGUUUGAUGUAACAUCAACCACUUGAAGAAGACUGGAGUUUCUAAACAUAAAUGUGGAACCAUAAAGGCCUGCUUCAAAGUAAGGAGAAAUAAGGGCACAUUUGUGGCUCUGGAGUAAAAUAAGAUAAAUUCCUCGUUUGGGAAAAGGCAGGGGCAAAUGUUGUCUUAAAGGUUAGUUUGUUUCCAUUAUUUUAGAAGAACAGGUUGACCCAUAACUACCCAGCUUUCACACUGCUGGAUCUGUCAUGUGCUAAUAAUUAUAGUUUAUUUUUUCAAAUCAUUUAAAGAGGUUUGAAUGGAUUAAGACUGGCUUCUAGAGAACUACUUUUCUGUAUACAAUUGGUUAAAAACAUGUAAGGUACUAUGUAUACAUCACACACACAUAUAUAGUAACAUGUUGAUUUAUACAUAUAUUGUAUGUAGUAACAUGUUGAUGUAUACAUUUCAGUUACCAAAAUUAAAAAUGUUGCCAAAACUGAAGUGGCCAUUUUUCCUGCCAACUAAGAGUCAACAUAUAAUAAUUAAAUCCUAUUUCAAGUUUUAUUGUGUAAAGACAUCAUAAGUGAGCCUUAUUCAAGAAUAAUAUAGAGACAUUAAAGCACAUAAACAAAACUUCUGUAAAGAAGAUCUUAACACAAUUUCUAAAUUGUAGUUUGUAAGUACUGAGAUUUUCUGAAAAGAGGGCAUCUUCAUUUCCCUUGUAAUGGCCCUGUCUCAUCAAUGUGGUUUGUUUAAAGAAACCUCACCCUAAGAAUUCCAGCUUGAGUAGUUUUCAGUUGGAACAAUAUAAUGGAUUUAUGCCUUCCUGUGUUAGAAUUCUAACCACUUAUAAGAAUAGUUUCACAGCUAUUUCAGUUCUGAAAUAAAAGAUUUUUAUUUUAGAAAUAAUAAAAAUUAUUUUUAAAGUACACAUAAAUAUUUCUGACUUUUACAUUCUUCUCUUUUAAAAUCAGAUGUUUAAGAAUAAUGUUACUGACCAUAAACAAAAGGUGGAAGCCAUAAUUAAAAACAUGAACACAGUUUCUUUGGAGUUGAAGAAAAUGAGAGAGCUCUCCCAGUUGCUGCUUUGUGACCUCACUCUGCAGUUUAGUGAUCCUGUGAAUACAGAGGACUUCAAGGAAACAGAAAGAAAUGACUCCCUGUCUGAAAAGUCUGAAAUACCAGAUGCAUCUCUUGCUUCUAACAGUUUCUCUAUCUGAUUUAUUUUUUAGUUAUUAUGAGUUCAUGGUGUUUUUCAUUGUUGAAUUAGCAAAUAUUUGGGGGGAUUAAAUUUACUAAAAUACUUAAUGUAAUUAAAAGCAGCAAAAUUAAUACAGUUGUAAAUAAAUAUUUCAUUUUCUUGAAGGCUCUUUCGUUGUUGUUGUAAUGUUUGAAGGAUGGUUGAUUUGUUUUACUAAAGGCAAGAGUAUGACAUUGAGAUUUGGCCAUGAGGCAUUACUUAUCCUUUAUGCUUGAAUUUGCCUUACUUUAGCAGAGUUACUAUAUUAC